CAUCUCUUGUAAGUGGGUCAGAGUCGUUGCAGAAAGAGUUGCCGCAAUCCCACGGUGUGUUUGAAAGGUCUUGUUAAUGUUCAACACUUUUCCCCCUCUUAAAGCUUCCAUUUUGAAGUCAGAUGAUUCUUAAGACUUUUUUUUUUUCCCCAUUUGCAGUUAACACACUGACCCGGCGUCUUGGCAGCAGCACUGGGAAGCUGCGUUGGUGAAUCCAGGUCCUCCGGUUUUCUUUCCUUCCUUCCUUCCUUCCUUCUGAAGGAAGCCCCCAUGAACGGGUCCCUGGGAUUAAGGGGGAAGCGGAGGUUUUAAUGAAGCAGACUCCAUUCUUCCGAGGGGUGAAGGGAGAUAACUUUUGAAGGGGAUAAAUGUAAGCAAAUGCUGAACAACAUGCCGAUUCUGAAGGCACAAAUCCCCUCCACAGAACUGCAAAUUGAAGACUCAAGGCUCCUGUUUUGUUGAAAAGAGACUUUUGAGCCCAACAAGGGGUGUACGCCAGAAAAUCCUGUGGUCAGCCCUGAAGGGCAAAACAGAUCUCUGCUGAGCAGAGCAGCAGAGGGAGUGUCAAAGCUGCAUGUUGGAGAUGGGGAAGAAAAAUCUCACCUUGGAUUCAGGAGCUGGAAUUCAUCCUAAACUCACACUUCAGCCUUCUUCUCCCAGGAGGAUCAGCAUCGGGGUAGAGGCGCUAUGGGACAACUCCUUUCCUGGGACAAGGGUAGACACAGGAGAACCUGAACUUUUAUUACAAGCUGGAAAACUGAAACCCAAAGGUGGAAAUCUGA